UAAGACGAACCGUCCAAACGUUAUUCGGAAUUACUGGGCUUAAAGGGUGCGUAGGCGGCUUCGCAAGUUGGGUGUGAAAUCCCUCGGCUCAACCGAGGAAUGGCGCCCAAAACUGCGGAGCUCGAGGGAGACAGAGGUGAGUGGAACUUGUGGUGGAGCGGUGAAAUGCGUUGAUAUCACAAGGAACACCGGUGGCGAAAGCGGCUCACUGGGUCUCUUCUGACGCUGAGGCACGAAAGCUGGGGGAGCGAACGGG
rnacentral:rRNA from 1 species